rnacentral:rRNA from 1 species
AUAUCAAUAAGCGGAGGAAAAGAAACUAACAAGGAUUCCCCUAGUAACGGCGAGUGAAGCGGGAUGAGCUCAAAUUUGUAAUCUGGCGGACUCUGGCCGUCCGAGUUGUAGUCUGGAGAAGCGUCUUCCGCGUCGGACCGUGUACAAGUCCCUUGGAACAGGGCGUCGUAGAGGGUGAGAAUCCCGUCUUUGACACGGACUGCCGAUGCUUUGUGAUGCGCUCUCGAAGAGUCGAGUUGUUUGGGAAUGCAGCUCAAAACGGGUGGUAAAUUCCAUCUAAAGCUAAAUAUGGGCGAAAGACCGAUAGCGAACAAGUACCGUGAGGGAAAGAUGAAAAGCACUUUGGAAAGAGAGUUAAACAGUACGUGAAAUUGUUGAAAGGGAAACGCUUGAAGUCAGUCGCGUCUCCUGGGACUCAGCCUUGCUUCCGCUUGGUGUACUUCCUGGGGUGACGGGCCAGCAUCGAUUUUGACCGUCGGAGAAAGGCCUUGGGAACGUGGCACCUUUGGGUGUGUUAUAGCCCUCGGUCGUAUGCGACGGUUGGGAUCGAGGACCGCAGCACGCCUUUUUGGCCGGGGUUCGCCCACGCACGUGCUUAGGAUGCUGGCGUAAUGGCUUUAAGCGACCCGUCUUGAAACACGGACCAAGGAGUCUAACAUGCCUGCGAGUGUUUGGGUGGUAAACCCGGACGCGAAAUGAAAGUGAAAGGUUGGGACCUCUGUCGUGGAGGGCACCGACGCCCGGACCAGACCUUCUGUGACGGUUCCGAGGUAGAGCAUGCAUGCUGGGACCCGAAAGAUGGUGAACUAUGCUUGAGUAGGGUGAAGCCAGAGGAAACUCUGGUGGAGGCUCGUAGCGAUUCUGACGUGCAAAUCGAUCGUCGAACUUGAGUAUAGGGGCGAAAGACUAAUCGAACCAUCUAGUAGCUGG